AAGANGAAUGCNNGGUGUGNCGGGUAUNGAUCCNCUGCCGUGCCGGAAGCUAACCGCAUUAAGCAUUCCNCCUGGGGAGUACGGUCGCCAAGGCUGAAACUCAAAAGGAAAUUGACGGGGGCCCGCACAAACGGUGGAGCCAUGUGGUUCAAUUCGACGCAACGCGAGAGAACCUUACCCAGGCUUGAACAGNGAGUGACAAACUACGAAAGUGGUCUUCCGCCAAGGACACUCGUAGAGGUGCUGCAUGGCUGUCGUCAGCUCGUGUCGUGAGAUGUUGGGUUAAGUCCCGCAACGAGCGCAACCCUUGUCUUCUGUUGCCAUCAGGUUAUGCUGGGCACUCUGGAGAGACUGNCCGGUGAUAAACCGGAGGAAGGUGGGGAUGACGUCAAGUCAGCAUGGCCUUUAUGUCUGGGGCUACACACGUGCUACAAUGGCCGGCACAAACCGUCGCGAGCCCGACAAGGGGGAGCUAAUCGGACAAAGUCGGUCUCAGUUCGGAUCGUCGGCUGCAACUCGCCGGCGUGAAGUCGGAAUCGCUAGUAAUCGCGGAUCAGCACGCCGCGGUGAAUACGUUCCCGGGCCUUGUACACACCGCCCGUCACAUCACGAAAGCCGGUUGUACUAGAAGUCGCCGCACCAACCCGCCAAGGGGGGGAGGCGCCUAAGGUAUGAUCGGUGAUUGGGGUGAAGUCGUAANCAAGGUACC
rnacentral:rRNA from 1 species